AACCUUGUCAUUAGUUGCUACAUUCAGUUGGGCACUCUAAUGAGACUGCCGGUGACAAACCGGAGGAAGUGGGGAUGACGUCAAGUCCUCAUGGCCCUUAUAGUGGGGCUACACACGUCAUACAAUGGAUGGUACAAAGGGUCGCCAACCCGCGAGGGGGAGCCAAUCCCAUAAAGCCAUUCGUAGUCCGGAUCGCAGUCUGCAACUCGACUGCGUGAAGUCGGAAUCGCUAGUAAUCGUGGAUCAGCAUGUCACGGUGAAUACGUUCCCGGGUCUU
rnacentral:rRNA from 1 species